rnacentral:rRNA from 1 species
CCUACGGGCGGCAGCAGUGAGGAAUAUUGGUCAAUGGACGAGAGUCUGAACCAGCCAAGUCGCGUGAGGGAAGACGGUCCUAUGGAUUGUAAACCUCUUUUGUCGGGGAGCAAAAGACGCCACGUGUGGCGUUCCGAGAGUACCCGAAGAAAAAGCAUCGGCUAACUCCGUGCCAGCAGCCGCGGUAAUACGGAGGAUGCGAGCGUUAUCCGGAUUUAUUGGGUUUAAAGGGUGCGCAGGCGGAAGAUUAAGUCAGCGGUAAAAGUGAGGGGCUCAACCGGUUCGAGCCGUUGAAACUGGUUUUCUUGAGUGAGCGAGAAGUAUGCGGAAUGCGUGGUGUAGCGGUGAAAUGCAUAGAUAUCACGCAGAACUCCGAUUGCGAAGGCAGCAAACCGGCGCUCAACUGACGCUCAUGCACGAAAGUGUGGGUAUCGAACAGGAUUAGAUACCCUAGUAGUC